rnacentral:sRNA from 1 species
AUAGUAGGAUAGAGGAACCAUGGGUAGACAUAUGGAAGAGUGGAUUAAUGGAUAGAAGGUAUAUGGAUCACUGUUUGGCUCCCUCGCCAUUUUCCCAGUACAGAGAACAGUAUCUAGCAAAAUCUUGUUGGCUUGGUGAAUGGAGUGUCAAUACUGUUGGAGUCUCCACUACACUGAGAAAUCCAUGGGCUCACUGCUGCCUGUCUGUUUAGGACUCUCCCUUCAAUACAUCCAGGCAACUAUUGCCUACGGUGUUUGUAUCUGUGUCUUAGAUCCUCUGAGUGUUCUGCAGCCCUGCUGACAGUGGCUCCCCUUGGGCAAACCUGUACACACUCAGCUUCUUCCCACAAUGCCAUCUGUACCUGACACUCAGUAGGCCGUCAUCUCACCACACAAGUUUUCCCUCUGGCAAGAAAGCUCAUGAACCAACACAAAGAGAAUACCAAAGAAGAAGCUUGAAUAAUUCAACAAAGAGCCAGUGGAGUCCAGGCGCCUCACACAGGCCCUGGCUGAAACUCAAAGGAAACCCAGAAAAUGGGAAUUCACGGAAAGUCUCUGCAUGAAGAUUAAAAUCGCCCUGUGAUAAAACAGCCUCAUGUAUCAGAGUCAGAGACUGGAGAAAAUAAGAAAAUCCCGCAAAGUAAAUUGAAAUUAGGUCAGGAGGACCAGGGAGAAAUCACAGUGAAAAUGCAGUCUAUAGAAGAAAAUCGAAAGAUAGCUGCGAAUUGAGUGUGGAAGGGAGCCAUAGUCCGUUCCGCAGGAAACACGAUGAAACUCCCCCAGCUCAACUCUGGGCCUCAUUCAUGCACAGAGGACGCCUUCAACAUGGCUCACAACAUGGAGACUCCCUGAAGCAUAGGAUUUGUGGCUAACAGUCUUCAGAUGGCUGGUCAGAUACUUUGCCCCCAGACACAUCUCUAUGAGGACCAGGCCUUUCCAGCCAACCAUAGCAAGACAAUUAAUUAUCACCCACUCUGCCUGUCUCUGGGCUCCCUGGCCUGAUGCCAUCUGAGCAGCAAUUCCUACCUGCCCUGGGCCCAGCAGAGGGGACCUUCACCCCUUUUCAUAGCCACUUCAUCAUGGGCCCCCCCAAAGAGUGACUUAUGAGGUGGGCGUAAACUGGAGCAUAUUAUUCUAUCUAAUGGAGUGCCUCUUUCUCUUCACCCCUAGAUCUGCCUUCAGCAGGAACCCUGUGGGCUUAGUGGCCCUGGCACCUCCUCUUGGCGACCCUAUACACCAAUCCUACAGCUCUGGUGGGAAUUCUCACUGCAUGAGCUAUGACUAGAGUCCAGCUCAGUCUUGAUUCUCCCUACAAGACCCCAUCAUGGCUCGCCCACUGAAGGCCCUGAAUAGAGGCUACCCUACUGUACUUCAGCACAGGCCAUUAAAAAGGCUACUGAAAGACUUGAUGGAAGCUACGGGAAGGUUCUGAGACAAGAUGGAUAUUGUCUGGCUACACUGUUGCAACUAGUAUCCAAGACGUGAAAAGCCAACAGUGUGGCCAGGGAGAGACGAGAAACAGAAGACAGCAGUAUGGUUUGGAUCCAAAAUGUCCCACAGACUAUGGUUUGGAUCCUUUUCCUCCUGGGUUUUUGGAGGUCAUAGAAACUUUCAUAGGUAGGGGAGGGCCUUCAAAGGUGAUUGGUACCUGCCCUGUUUGGCAUGGCUCUGUACUUUGCUUUCUGGCCUGUCGUCUUGAGAAGCCAAACACUUCCGCACCCUGUCACGUCAAUACCCCCACCCCCACUCCAACUCCCAGCUACUACAGGCAGAGCCUCUCUGCCUUCCUGGCUCAACCCAAGACCAAUAUCAUAAAACAAGACAAAUCCUUUCUCAAAUUGUUUUCUAGUCAGACACAGUCAAAGUAAGGUCAAAGGUGGAGUUCGGGAUGAAACCAUCAGAUGGUAGGGUAUGCGCAGAGGGUGGAUCCUGGUUCCAUAUCAUUCCAGAGUCCACCUCGAUCCCAGGAAGCCAGCUCCCCUUUCCCGUGGGGGUGGAUUCUGCCCUCCAGAGCUUUCUCUGUCCUGAGUUUUAAGUUCCUCAGCUGACUCAAGUGCCCACAGGACUGGCCCUGCCUCUUUCCUGGGCUCUGUAUUCUGCUUCUCUGUCCUCGUAGGGAAAGAUCUACACCAUGGUCAGCUCUGAGUCAGUACUUCCAAGGACUCCUCUCUACCUGGCAUACUCCCAACCUGAUCGUCCUCAUCCAGUUAUUAAGGGGUUUUUCUUCCCCUUGCUAUCCACGGAACAACUCAAUUCUCCCCACCUCGAGGAGCAGCCCCUGGCUUCUACUCACCACCGAGGCACCCUGUUUCAUUUUCACAUAAACAUCUGUCUCCCUGUCUGUGAGGAGACUGCACCACCCCCCGAAAGAAAGAAGCAACAUAAACCAGGGAUGUCGCUGGCAGCUUCUCGGCUUCCCCGGCUUCUGGAACAUGGCCCAGGUACAGGAACCAGAAAUGUAAAUAUUUGUCGAAUAAAACGCACGGAGAAAGAGGCCACUUCUCCAGGGAAGUCCACGGGAGCAGAAAGGCCUCACGAAGUGUGUGUGUGUCUGCCAAUACGCCAUUUCCUUGACAGCCGAGACCAGGAAGCCGGUAGAGGAAGACUGCUGUGUUGGCUGUUUUCCUAAGAUUUAAACAGGUUCACGGCCCAAGAGCACGUUCGUCAUGUGAGGAUUCACCAGCACUGGCUAAAGCAUCCCUCUGCGGGACGGAACGGAGCUUCUCGGCCACAGCACAGCUGUCACUGACGGAUAAUACAGGAAAAAUCAAGGCCAGAUCCCUAAGCCACGUCUAAGAUGGGGGUGUCCAUGUACCACCAAUUCAUUUAACUCUACCUGCAUUGUUCUCCCUCGGGGCUUUCUGCAGCCCCUCCCCCACCCCAUCACUCCUUUCUCCUAGACUCUGACCUGUAGAGGCUUCUUCCUACAAAUGGUCUCUGGGAAAAGGUAACUAGCCAUCCCCUCCUUGUCUUGUAAAGCUGAGGUCACUGUUGCAAGGCUGACCUUAAAAGGCAGAGUUAUCCCAAGACACCCCUGUCCCCAAUUACUCUUCUUUACAUAUAUAGAAAGUGACACCUUCUCACAGCCCUGUGCUUGCCCGCACCUGGAUCUUUUAUACUGUCAAGCUUGGUGCCUCCCUCAUCCCCACAGGGCCACGGGAGAGCUAACCAGCUAUUUGUCUGAAAUCUUGACCAUGAACUCUGCAGCCGGCCCGCGGCUCAGUGCCCCCAGCAUGCAGUUCAGCAGAGCUGUCUGCAAGCUGCUCACCCUUCAUUCCUGCACAGAACCCUGUCAUGGCCGUGGAUGUGAGCCGUUCAAGAUCACAGGCUGGGUCCUGCUCUGACUGGCAGGCUGGACGUGAGCCACGGGCAAGUCAGCCUGUCUGGGUCACAGCCCACAUAGUCAAUCAUCCAGCCGCCAGGUGGUAGGCCGUGAUCCCACCACCUCUGUCUCUGAGUAGCAAGAUAUCAGACGAGGUUAGUUCCAGCCCAGUUAUUCAAGCUAGGCUCCAUGAGAAAGGUUCAUGGUUCAAGAGGGUCCUGCGGUUCUCCAUCCAAAAGUCCCAGCUUCCUGACAUCCAAGAUGCUGUGCACCAUCCCAGCAUGAGGCAUCCAGGAUGCUGAACACUGUACACAGUGUCUCAGGUAAGGGGAGGGCUGUGUGCAACCCCAGCAUCUCAUGUUAUUUUUAGUGUUGAGCAAAACUCCAGCACUCCAGGCGUCAGCAGUGAAGAGUGGUACCCCAGAAUCUCAGAUGUCUCUAAUGCUUAGUGCUGACCCAGCACCUGAGCAUCUAUGCAUUCAGUGAUGCUGAAGAAUCUCAGGUAUCUGUGAUGAUGUGUGGUGCCCUAGCAUCUCCAGCAUCUAUGGUGACACAUACCCUGUGGGACCCCCCCCCCUCAGUGUUUGCCCCCUGCUGAGCCUUGCUGAUGCAUGUGGAAGCUUUUGUUCUUAACAAAGGAACAUCUAGGACCUUUCUGUUUGGCACCUGGGCAGUGGCACCUGGGAGGUGGCACCUGGGAGCUAACACCUGGGUGGUAACACCAUUAAGUCAGUUCCUGUUUUUCCAUUCCUGUUUUUCUCCUGAGGGCAUGAACUUGUUUUUCCGCUGUGCUUCCUGGAAAUCUCCACCUGGUGAACUUGGGGUAUUU